ensembl:lncRNA
AGCCACAGUCUGUGUUUUAUCAGCCAACUGCAAAAGGAUUAGAAUAAUAUACCUUAUUAUUUGUUAGGUAAAGCCACUGUCUUCACAGUGUAUUUUAUAAUGCUAAUGAAACAAAUAAUUGUAUUAAUUAUAGUAACAGCUACUGUUUCUUGAGAGUAUAUAGCAUGGUAGCUAUGUGCCAAGUACUUUACAAACAUUACACCCAGUCUUCACAAGAGCCCAAAGAGGUAGGCAUUGGUUUUAUCCUCACUGUAUAGAGAAAGGACAUAUAGCUCAGAGAGAUGAAGUAACUUGCCUGAAGUGGAAUGGUGAGUGAGUGGCAGAAUGGCCUUUUGAACCUAGACCUGCCUCACUCCAAAUUCCAAGAUAGGGUCGCUUUCUCCAAAGCGAUUCUGAAGACUUAAAUUCCACUUUUAGCGCAAUUCUUAACCUUUGAAGGUUUGUAGACCACUUGAGAAUGUGCACUGUUGUCUAGAAAAUGGUCUAUUUGAAAAAAAUAUGCAAACUUUAAAGUCAAAUUUCAGGGGAUACAGUCUCUAGCCUAAAGACCCACUACAUUUGAGUGGUGUCCUUUGAGUCAUUACAAUUUUCCAAUCUUCUGGAAUCUUUGCUAAAAUACAAAUACCCCUCUAAAAGGAACACCUAGAGUGCUUAUCAACUAAAAUCAUGGCAUUUUUUGCUGAGACAGACUUUGUAAAUGGAAGCAAAGAUGGCAGGAAGCACUUGUUACAUGUUGUACUUGUUCCUUAUUUUCUCUGGAAUCAGCCAGUUCUGGAUGGGACCCCUAAAAUUUUUAGUACUGACACUGAACCAUUACUACAGAAUUGUUCCCAAGAUAUUAUUAUUUAACAGCCGUGUGAUUAACUCUCAAGAUAUCCAACAAUUAUUUCAUGAAAUAGAAAUUAAAACCUUCAUGUUCUCCUUGCUUAAAUCAGAGUAAGUUAAAGGAACAAAGGCAAAUUACUUAAAUAUGAGUCUGUACAAUAUGCAAAGUAGAUUAAAAAAAGGAGUCUGGUGCAAAAACAGUUGCGUCACAGUGGUUUGAACAUUUUCUGUGCCACCACUCCCAUCGUUAAUGCAUAUAAUUGAGAGUAAAAGUUGUUGUUCAGUGCAAUUUUUCUGAUCAUGUCUGAACUCUGUGAUGCCUCUGCUGAUGUUAGCUUUAUAAUUUAAAUCAGUGUAUUCGUUUUCUUAGUGUGAUAUAAAACAAGAAGAGCAAUAGAAACUUCUGCUUAAUUUUAGGUAAAAUUAUCCACAGAUGGAUAAGCCUGUUGUUUUAAUGUCUCUCUUUUGCUGUUCAAACAGCAGAAUAUAUCACAUGAUACAUUCUAAAAUAAAGAAUAUGUGCUCAAUGAAAUCUCCUUAAAGUCCAUAGAAUCAUCUUCAUUUUAGGGGAAGUGGGAGCAAAGCUGUGGCGAUGGUGGGUACGAUGCUAGGCACUCUCUGAGGUAUGUGGUUUGAAAUGAUUUCCUAGAAAGAAAUGGCUACAAUUUAACUCUCCUAGUCUAUUGACUGAAAUGUAUUUUGAAGAUAAUAUGGGGUUACCAAGCCCCCCAGAGUACACAGAAAUACGUUCUCAAUGAAUAUUUACAUAAUAAGUACUUCCAUGAAAACUAAGUACAUUAAUUUCUUUUCUUUCUUUUUUUUUUAAUGGCUGCAUGGGGAAGUUCCCAGACCAGAAAUUGAACCUCUAUCACAGCAGUGAUCUGAGCUACGGCCAUAACAACACUGGGUCCUUAGCCACUAGGCCAUCAGGGAACUCCCUUUUCUUUUUAGAUUAUGUGCAAUCCAGAACAUACCUCAAGGUUAAAAGCCAUAGGUCAGGGCAUCUCAGGCUCUACUUAAACUGCAUCUUUCUUGUUCUGUUGCUAUUGCUUUGGAGUUUGGUCUUUCUCUUUGAACAAUAUGAGGCUAAUUCUCCCAGGGCUUAAAUCUCUCCUCCAUCAUCAGUUGGGUGCUCACAAAGGAGUAUUCAUUAUUCAGGUUAUGGGUAUGAGACUUACUGCCUGUCAUAACACACAGUUUUGGUGAUGACAGAGUUUUAAGAUUUUGUAAAAUUUGUAAAAACCUGCACGCACAGAAUAUGGAAGUUCCUGGGCCAAGGAUGGAAUUUGAGCCUCAGCUGCAACCUAUGCCACAGCUGUGGCAACAUCAUACCUUUAACCUGCUAUGCCGGGCCAGGGAUCAAACCUGAGGCUCCACAGUGACCUGAGCCACUGCAAUCAGAUCCUUAACCCACUGUGCUGCAGCAGGAACUCCUUUAGCUAAUUUCCUUUAUACCUGAGGUUUCAGGGCAAAUAUUCCUGUGUUGUGAUAAAGCUGAAGGACUCUUUGAAUAUGAUAUUAUUAGUCAGUUUUAUGUCAAUAUUCUCAUUAUAUUGCAAAUUACAAAUGUAUUUCUGUUGCUAUCAACGUAUUAUGUCAAAACAAUAACAAACGGAGUUUCCGUCGUGGCGCAGUGGUUAACGAAUCUGACUAGGAACCAGGAGGUUUAGGGUUCGAUCCCUGGCCCUGCCCAGUGGGUUAAGGAUCCGGCAUUACUGUGAGCUGUGGUGUAGGUUGCAGACACGGCUCGGAUCAUGCAUUGCUGUGGCUCCGGCGUAGGCUGGCAGCUGUAGCUCUGAUUCGACCCCUAGCCUGGGAACCUCCAUGUGCCUCAGGUGCGACCCUAGAAAAGGCAAAAAGAC